UUCUUGGAGGAAUUUCGGUCAAGAUUUCUGCCCUAAAGCUGUCCAACUAAGUUCUUGAGAAUGAUUGAUGGAAUGAAGUUGGAAGAAAGUUAGAAAUUUGGAAAAGGAUCUCAAGAGGACUUCGAGGGAACUCCCGGCGAAGCGUCUUAGAGCUAAUUUCUCAAACUUUGACUUUUGAUACUUGGUGAGUAUCAAGUGCA